UACAGAGGGUGCAAGCGUUAAUCGGAAUUACUGGGCGUAAAGCGCACGUAGGCGGCUAUUCAAGUCGGGGGUGAAAGCCCGGGGCUCAACCCCGGAACUGCCCUCGAAACUAGAUAGCUAGAAUCUUGGAGAGGUCAGUGGAAUUCCGAGUGUAGAGGUGAAAUUCGUAGAUAUUCGGAAGAACACCAGUGGCGAAGGCGACUGACUGGACAAGUAUUGACGCUGAGGUGCGAAAGCGUGGGGAGCAAACAGG
rnacentral:rRNA from 1 species